rnacentral:lncRNA from 1 species
UGAUCUCCUCAGAGGGUGUUUGUGCUCAGUGCAGUUAUACUCCAGUGUGGCUUGCAAAUCUGGGUAAUGGUGUUUCAAUGUCAGCACCAAGUUCUCAUGGAAGAAAUCCUUGGGAUCUGCCUCUGGAAUCCACAGCUCAGUAGUCCAUCCCAUCCUUGCAUUAGCAGACUGUGGUGGAGGUGGAUCUUGCAUCUCCUCAUCUUCAGGCACUUCCUCCUGAGCUUCCACCCUUGAUUCCUCAUCUUCCAGCUCAGGAACUCCAUUCACAUGCUGUCCUCCUAGGUUGAACAUGGCACGGUACUCCUCAGCAGCCAUGCGUGCAGCACUACGGGUGCGGGGCGGCAUCUACAAAAAGUUUUUAGACAUAGAUCAGAUGGAUGCAAUAAUUUCACAAUAGAGCAAGAUAGAGAAGCAUAAACUUUUAACAAAUACAAGACCAUAGUGGGAAGCAUGAAGUAAGUAAAAUAAGGACCUAAAUUCUCGACCAUUUGCUAACUAGGUUUGCGUCCUACAGUCAACAAAGCUUUGAUACCAAUUUGUCACACCCAUAUUUUAAGAACAAAAUAGGAUGCAUAAAAGACUCAUAUGUGCCCCAGGAAUAGUCGCACACAUAAGUAGACAAAUCUCAAUGUACCAUUGCAGUGUUUAUUACAUAGCGAAACAUAAUAAAUCACAUAGUCUCAUACAAAAAUGAUAGCAUAGAGUAAACAACGCUCUCGACGGAAGCUCCACACAGGGACACUGUUGACUGGUUGACUCCAAACCUAGUACUCGUAACGAUAAUCUUCAUUCCAGUCAUCUUCGUUAUCAUAUCCUGAGGUGUUGGGAAAUUGCAAGAGUGAGCACAUAUCGUACUCAACAAGUAUAACCAGGGGUUCAUGAGGCUCAAAUAGCUGACACUGGUUUGACUGCAUUUAGCUUUUAAUGGUGGAUAGCAUGUUCAUAAUUAAUGAGCAAUUGUCAAGGUAACAUAAAUAUUCCUUUAAUUCCAUGAUCAAGUGUAAGCAUAAUUAAUUCAUAGCAUAAACGAUAAUCAAAUGAACCUAACAACUUAACAAGCUCAUCGUCGUCGCAGCAAGAACCCCCAAGGCCGCUCAUAACCGUGAGCACGGCUAGUAUACCAGUUUUACACUCUGCAGAGGUUGUUCAUCUUUACCCAUGAGUCAUGAUUUACCCUUUCACCCGAGGUAGCUAAUCUCUUAACCCCCUUCCUAGGGAGGUCGGCAGGGAUCACUAUGAAGCCUUUCAAAAGUUCGUCUAACAUGUUAGGGCCGCAAGGUUUCCUUUGCGAGCAGAUAUAGAUACCCCCCUUCCGAAUGGCACAAUGACGCGCAGCCUAUACACAUAGGGACAGGGGCUCGCACUAUACCCGUGUCGGUUCA